AGCAAACGCUAGCGGUGAGCUUAACACAUGCAAGUCGAGCGGAAAACUUCGGUUUCAGCGGCGAACGGGUGAGUAACACGUAGGUUACAUGCCCCCAGGUGGAGGAUAACUCUCGGAAACGGGAGCUAAUACUGCAUAUGGCCCUUCGGGGUUAAAGUCUUCGGACGCCAGGGGAUUGGCCUGCGGCCCAUUAUUUAAUCCUGGAUGGUGAGGUAACGGCUCACCAUGGGUACGAUGGGUAGCUGGUCUGAGAGGGUGAUCAGCCACACUGGGACUGAGACACGGCCCAG
rnacentral:rRNA from 1 species